GACGACAAUAAGUAAAUGGACAAAAUGAUAAAUGAGACUAUUGGGUCUCGUGGCUGCUUCAAAUGAUAGGACUUUUACCCCCAUUCUUAUUUUGGCCCCCUUACUUUCGGUAUGUCAUGAGAUCGAUGUUGAAAUUUCUCUAGGAGUUGACUCGAUCGAGAUGAUGGGCCUCAAUGGCCGUGAAGAGAAUGCGACGAGAAAUCGAAUCCAUUUUUUUUAUUCAAAGCAAAUAGCACAUGUAGCAAAGAGGGUAAAGAUUAG
rnacentral:lncRNA from 1 species